AUGCCACUGGAAGCCACGGGGCUUCAGCGUGCUGAGCCGAGACCUCCGGUGUUCACAGACACGGUGACAAGCACAGUCACCUGCUUAAGAACCGAGGUGGAAGAUGCCCAGUACACCCCUUGCUCAAAAGUUGAACCCUUCCUUUCCUCAGCCCCCUGGUACUGCUGCCCCACCACCACCACCACACCCCAUCACCGCCUCUGGUUACCAUCGUCCUUGGCUGGAGUCAGAAAAGUGGCUACAAACUUCCUAGUCCAUGAGAAGAUCUGGUUCGAGAAGUUCAAGUAUGACGAUGCGAGUUGCAGAAAGGAAAUUCUAUGAGCAGAUGAACAGGCCCGUGGUUGGCUCCUCCUGCCAGAAGAAUGGCACCAGGAUGACCCUUGGAGACAUUGCAAGAGCCAGAGAGAAUAUCCAGAAAUCCCUGGCUGGAAGUUUGGGCCCCGGGACCUCCAGCGGCCAGAUGGAGACCACGGUGAGCUCAUCACCCAGAUAGCCAACCUGGAAGUGGAGAACCAGGGCCUGCGAGGCAUGGUGCUGGACCUGCAGCAGGCUGUCUCCAAGCUGGAGGUCCAGCUGAGCGUGCUUUAGAGGAGCUAACCCACCCACCAGGCCACAGCCCCGCAGACCCAGCACCUAGCACGUGUCUGCCAAGUGGAGCCUCCAACCAAAAAGGAGGCCACAUGAGCCAAAGAUGACAAGGACAAUGACAUUAACCUGUUUGGCAGUGACAAUGAGAAGGAGGAUAAGGAGGCAGCCUGGCUGCGGGAGGAGAGGCUACAUCAGUAUGCAGAGAAGAAGGCCAAGAAGCCAGCGCUGGUGGCCAAGUCUUCCAUCCUGCUGGAUGUCAACCCUUGGGAUGAUGAGAGAGAUAUGGCCCAGCUGGAGGCCUGUGUGCAUUCCAUCCAGCUGGAUGGGCUGGUCUGGCGGGGCUCCAAGCUGGUGCCCGUGGGCUACAGCAUCCACAAGCUACAGAUCCAGUGUGUGGUGGAGGACAAGGUGGAGACCAACUUGCUGGAAGAAGAGAUCACCAAGUUUGAGGAGCAUGUGCAGAGUGUCGACAUCGCAGCUUUCAACAAGAUCUGAAGCCUGAUGAGCACGUGUGUAAGUGAGGCCCUGCCAGGAUUAAAAACUGAG